rnacentral:misc_RNA from 1 species
GAUGAAGAACGUAGCGAAAUGCGAUAAGUAAUGUGAAUUGCAGAAUUCAGUGAAUCAUCGAAUCUUUGAACGCACAUUGCGCCCGCUAGUAUUCUGGCGGGCAUGCCUGUCCGAGCGUCAUUUCAACCCUCGGGAGCCCCUUUGCGGGGGCUGCCGGUGUUGGGGAUCGCCCGCCGCCAUGGUGGACGUCCCCUAAAACGAUUGGCGGUCUCGCUGUAGCCUCCUCUGCGCAGUAGCACUUGUUCUCGCAGGCGGAGCGCGGCGCGACCAAGCCGUUAAACCCCCAACUUUUUUACUAGGUUGACCUCGGAUCAGGUAGGAAUACCCGCUGAACUUAAGCAUAUCAUAAGCGGAGGA